CCCUCAAAAUCUAUGCAACAUCUAUAAAGGAACUCGUCAUAUCACAAAUUAAAUUUCAAAUUUAUCUUUUAUAGCUAAUAGCUAGAUAGAAUUAUGUAUUCUACAGGGGAUGAUUUGUUUAAGGGAGCCUUGCAUAAAAAAUACCCACUUUUCUCAAACUCAAUUUAAGAAAUACUCACUUUUUUUUUUAUUUGCUACCACUACAAAAAAUAGUACCGUCCAGAUCUACCGACGACGGCAAAGUAGCCGACCCGGUUUUUUUUAAAUACCGGCCAACUACCGACGGCAAACUGACCGCCAGUGAUUAACGACGGCGGCGCCGCCGGUACUAUAUGUAUUAUUAAUAUUUAAUUAUUUUUUAUUUCUAACGACGGCAUUUGCCGCCGCUAACUAGCGACGGCAAAACGCCGUCGGUAAUGUUGAAUAUUAGGGCGACCCGGACCUUUUUUUCUUUCCCAUUUUCGCGCGCCGCUCAGUAACCCCCCCCCCCCUCCCCCAGCUGCUCCAGAAGCUGCCGCUGCCACUGUCGCCGUUCAGCCACCCCGCUGCUCGUGCCAAGUUCGACGACCCCGUUAAGCUGCCUUCUUCACGACAACCCGCCGGAAACCACCACGCGCUGACUUGACAUGGCUGACCUUAUCAAUCGGCUCAACGACUCAGCUCCAAGCUCAAGACUCAUGUAAUAAGAGCUUAGGCCCAAUUAUUUAAAUUAAUGGGCCUUAGGGGUCAAAUGGGCCCAAGUGCCCUAGUUUUACUCUUAUGGCUAUAAAUAACGCAUUUUAUUAUUAGUUGAGGGGACUUUCAACUCAUUUUCUCACCAUGUAAAUUGUAAACACACAAAGUAUAGUGAAAACCUCAAAAACCCACCGUGGAUGUAAAUCUAACGAUCGAACCACGUAAAUCUUCGAGUCAUUUAUCGCUUUAUAGUUAGGUGUUGAUUUUUGAUUCAUCACCAAGAAUUUUG